rnacentral:rRNA from 1 species
UAGGGAAUAUUGGACAAUGGGCGAAAGCCUGAUCCAGCAAUGCCGCGUGAGUGAUGAAGGCCUUAGGGUUGUAAAGCUCUUUUACCCGGGAUGAUAAUGACAGUACCGGGAGAAUAAGCUCCGGCUAACUCCGUGCCAGCAGCCGCGGUAAUACGGAGGGAGCUAGCGUUGUUCGGAAUUACUGGGCGUAAAGCGCACGUAGGCGGCUAUUCAAGUCAGAGGUGAAAGCCCGGGGCUCAACCCCGGAACUGCCUUUGAGACUGGAUUGCUAGAAUCUUGGAGAGGCGAGUGGAAUUCCGAGUGUAGAGGUGAAAUUCGUAGAUAUUCGGAAGAACACCAGUGGCGAAGGCGGCUCGCUGGACAAGUAUUGACGCUGAGGUGCGAAAGCGUGGGGAGCAAACA